CCUACGGGGGACAGCAGUCGAGAAUCAUUCACAAUGGGGGAAACCCUGAUGGUGCGACGCCGCGUGGGGGAAUGAAGGUCUUCGGAUUGUAAACCCCUGUCAUGUGGGAGCAAAUUAAAAAGAUCGUACCACAAUAGGCAGAGACGGCUAACUCUGUUCCAGCAGCCGCGGUAAUACAGAGGUCUCAAGCGUUGUUCGGAAUCACUGGGCGUAAAGCGUGCGUAGGCUGUUUCGUAAGUCGUGUGUGAAAGGCGCGGGCUCAACCCGCGGACGGCACAUGAUACUGCGAGACUAGAGUAAGGGAGGGGGAACCGGAAUUCUCGGUGUAGCAGUGAAAUGCGUAGAUAUCGAGAGGAACACUCGUGGCGAAGGCGGGUUCCUGGACAUUAACUGACGCUGAGGCACGAAGGCCAGGGGAGCGAAAGGGAUUAGAUACCCGAGUAGUC
rnacentral:rRNA from 1 species